rnacentral:lncRNA from 1 species
GGGGCGCGGGGUGGUGUGGCUGCGCCGGCCGAAUCGCCGGCUGCCGCGGGCUCGGCCCACCCACGCUCCCGCCUCCGCUGGCCCGCGCGUCACUCCAGAGGCGGGGCCUCGUGGGCGGUGGGGGGCGAAGGAGGGGUGCUGCGGCGAGCGGGGUCGGCUAACGGCUCCCCACAGGCUCGCCGCAGGUUCCAGCUCGCGCUUCCGAGCUGCUGCUGCUGGGCUGCUGGCCGUGUUCUCCAGGGUGCUUUCGGAAGGUCCUCGCCCCUAUCAGAUUUCAGAGAGGUGCAGAACCGGCCCACGCCCGCACCUGUGCUUGCUUCCCUGGACUCCACAGCGGGAUGAAAGUUCCCCUCGGGUCAUCUUCCAGCUGCCCUCUAAAGAUAAUCAUCUUUGGACUUCACGGCUCUUCCUUUAGAGAGAGAUCUUAACAUUCUUUGAUUAAAGGCAUCCUGCUCCUCCGAGCCUGAGAUAAUGCCUCUCUUCCGUCUAUCGCGCCUCUCUCUGCGUUAAGACCCUCAGUCCCUCCGGCUUAUGAACCAUCACAAGGACGCAGGGUUUUUCACUUUAUGCCUUCCAUUUGCACGAUGGUGUAAUGGCAGAAGAGCCCACACUGAUAAGGAAAAGUCACCACAGCACUGUGACAUCUUACUGGCCCUGAUCAUCUCUUAUGAGCCAGUUCUGCAAAUCCUGUUCCCAAGAAACUCAAGAAAUUGCUGCUAAAAAUAAAAUUCUGGCGAACUGUCUCAGGACUUCAAAAGGGACAGAACAUAAUUGCAAAUAAGCCACGACAAACGGUCAAGAAUAUAUCACCAAAAGAAAUAAAGCGUCAGUUUUCUUCCAGUUCCCUGAUGCAUAAUGGAGGAGUAGCUUCCUCUUCCUGCUAGUAAUUGCUUCUGAACGUGGACUCCUCAGCUUACUGAAGUUCCUCCAACUUUACAAGACCCAAUAACCAGGCCAAAUAUUGUCUUCAGUGGCACGUCUGAAAACACUGGUGAAAUCAGAAACCUAGGCAGAAGAUGAUCUCACUGUUUUUAAAUUAAUUGAGAAACCAAAACAAAUGGAAAGAUAUCGAAUGCAUCUGGAUGGGAAGAGACAGAAUUGUAAAGACUCCACUCUUCCCAAAUUAAUCUAUAAAGUCAGCACAGUCCGAAUCAAAAUCCCAGCAGAGUUUUAAUGGAACUUGACUUCGUGUCUCUCACUAACUCAUUCUCUGUCUUUUUAAAAGCAAACUCGUAUCCUCUAAAUAAAAGCCUCUGCAGUAGCCUUGCAAACUUCUUUAGCAACCUUCUCAAAAAGGGGGAAAAAAAAGAAUAAAAUAUUCAUAUUAUCCAUAAGACCAGAGGCAAAUGAAAUGGACUGUGGUUGUCAUCAAAUCUGCCAGAAAGUUGCUUUUGGUAUAUAUUUUUGCCCACUUUCUGUAGUAAUUGUAGCCCAGUAAUGAUAGGGAAA